rnacentral:lncRNA from 1 species
CUGACCCCGCGUUGGAGGCUGCUGACAGGAGCCGGACUUGGUGUUGGUGCAGAUGCCGUAAUAGCCAUCCUUCCGCACUACGACGCACGCAACUACCCCUGGGAACACAUUGCCCGCGUCGUAGUGGCGGUGGCUUUCGCGGCAUGUGGCAUCGAUGGAAUUGACGGCUUGGUUGCGAAGAUUUUCGGCCCAAACCAACCUAGGACCGCCCAUUUUCCCAGCGUCUCUAGCUGCUUGAGUCGAUACGGGACACCAGGCACUUGGAUGCUGGCCAUCGUACUGUCCUUCGUAGCGAAAGCCAUUAUGACAGCUAGCUGGCCUUCCAAGCGAUCCCGGCUUUGCCAGUCCCGGGGCCAAUCCCCGCCAUGCCGACACCGACGCCGCGGCCGGUUUGGGUGAUCAUCGCCAGGCUGGGUCACCUGUCGGAGUUGUGCAUCGCGGCCCUGCCGGUGUGCGACUCUGCUGCGCACCCUGUUGCACACGCUGUCCUCAUGGUGGCGGCGGCGGCACUCACAGCAGCCGGCUCGUAUGGCAUGGACCGCCUCGUGCAGAAGAUAUUUGGGCAGAAUAAUCCCCGGCUUUGGCAAGCAGUAGCAAGACCAAUCAGAGAGCGGUUGCCAUGGAUUGCGGGUCUCAUGAUGCUUGGAGUGGGCUUAAGGGAGGCG